UGGUGGUUAUAGCGGAGCGGCUGCACCCGAUUCCAUUCCGAACUCGGCCGUGAAAUGCUCCUGCGCUGAUGGUACUUUGUCUUAAGACACGGGAGAGUAGGUCGCUGCCAGGUC
rnacentral:rRNA from 1 species